rnacentral:lncRNA from 1 species
ACGUAACAGUUUCUUUGGUAUCAUCAUCUACCCGAUUCAUUUCCUCAACUUUUAUUUAUUUUGCUGCUGAAGAAAAAUAUGUUGUGGGAGUGGGUCUUUAAUGUUGUUGAAACGUUAUUGACGGUGGAAAAUGCUAUGUUGGGUCAAGGGAAAGAAAUAUGGAUCGACAGGUAGAGGAGAGGAUUCUGCCUGGGGAAGCUAGGCCGAGUGGCAGGCUGGCUGGCAGCCAAGGCAUUGAGAAUUCGUUGGCAUGGUGGGAGAGAGGGAUGAGUGCCACUUGUUGGAUGCGGUAACGUGUCUUGUUCCC